rnacentral:pre_miRNA from 1 species
UAGCAGCACUGAAAUAUUGGCACUGGGAAGCAAAUCUGCCAAUAUUUGCUGUGCUGCUCCA